rnacentral:rRNA from 1 species
UAAGGGAUAUUGCGCCAAUGGGCGAAAGCCUGACGCAGCAACGCCGCGUGCGGGAGGACGGCCUUCGGGUUGUAAACCGCUUUUCCGGGGGAAGAGGGAGGACGGUACCCUGGGAAGAAGUCUCGGCUAACUACGUGCCAGCAGCCGCGGUAAAACGUAGGAGGCGAGCGUUAUCCGGAUUUACUGGGUGUAAAGCGCGUGCAGGCGGUUUAGCAAGUCGUGCGUGAAAGCGCUCUGGCUCAACCGGGCGAGGACGUGCGGAACUGCUGAACUGGAGGCAGGUAGAGGCGUGUGGAAUUCCGGGUGUAGUGGUGAAAUGCGUAGAGAUCCGGAGGAACACCAGUGGCGAAGGCGACGCGCUGGGCCUGGCCUGACGCUAAGACGCGAAAGCAUGGGGAGCGAACGG